GUGGGAGAGAGAGAGAAAAGAGAAAAGAACAGGGAUUGAGAUGAGAGGAAGAGAGCGCAGGAGAGCGGGAGAGGAGAGUGCAUGUUCUGUCUUAUGCGCACUUCAGACUGCUCUGGUUUGCUUGACAGUUUUGUGUGUGUGUGUGUGUGUGUGUUGUUGAGUCCUGCGCUCAGCAUACGGCAGGUGGAGAUGACAUGACUGCGCUUGAGAGGAAGAGAGGGAGGGACCUACGCGGUCAACAAGUAUUCCUGAGGCCAGACGAGACCGCAGCUCUAACCCUGACCGACCGACUACAGUGAUGAUGCGUGCGGUUUGCCGGGCGGAGGGCAGCGCUAGGCAGCGGCUGAGGGAGGAGGUAGG